rnacentral:rRNA from 1 species
GACGAACGCUGGCGGCGUGCCUAAUACAUGCAAGUCGAACGAACAAGGACGCAAGUAAUUGUUAGUGGCGAACGGGUGAGUAACACGUAAGUAACCUACCUAUUAGACGAGGAUAACUACUGGAAAUGGUAGCUAAAACUGGAUAGGAUAGAAAUAUUUAAAGAUGCGAAAGCAUCACUAAUAGAGGGGCUUGCGGCGCAUUAGCUAGUUGGUGGGAUAAAAGCCUACCAAGGCAACGAUGCGUAGCCGACCUGAGAGGGUGACCGGCCACACUGGGACUGAGACACGGCCCAGACUCCUACGGGAGGCAGCAGUAGGGAAUCUUCGGCAAUGGACGAAAGUCUGACCGAGCAACGCCGCGUGAGUGAAGAAGGUCUUCGGAUUGUAAAGCUCUGUUAUUAGGGAAGAAAGAACUUAUCAGGAAAUGGGUAAGAAGUGACGGUACCUAAUGAGGAAGCCACGGCUAACUACGUGCCAGCAGCCGCGGUAAUACGUAGGUGGCAAGCGUUGUCCGGAAUUAUUGGGCGUAAAGGGUGCGUAGGCGGUCUAUUAAGUCUUUUUUGAAAUUCCAUGGCUUAACCAUGGAGGGAGAUUGGAAACUGGUAGACUUGAGUACAGGAGAGGAAGGUGGAAUUCCACGUGUAGCGGUGGAAUGCGUAGAUAUGUGGAGGAACACCGGUGGCGAAGGCGGCCUUCUGGCCUGUGUCUGACGCUGAGGCACGAAAGCGUGGGUAGCGAACAGGAUUAGAUACCCUGGUAGUCCACGCUGUAAACGAUGAGUACUAAGUGUUGGGGGAUAUCCUCGGUGCUGAAGUUAACGCAUUAAGUACUCCGCCUGGGAAGUACGGUCGCAAGACUGAAACUCAAAGGAAUUGACGGGGACCCGCACAAGCGGUGGAGCAUGUGGUUUAAUUCGAUGCUACGCGAAAAACCUUACCAGGCCUUGACAUCGUGAUGCUGUGUAUAGAGAUAUACAUUUCCUUCGGGACAUCACAGACAGGUGGUGCAUGGUUGUCGUCAGCUCGUGUCGUGAGAUGUUGGGUUAAGUCCCGCAACGAGCGCAACCCUUGUCGUUAGUUGCUAACAUUAAGAUGAGGACUCUAACGAAACUGCCAGUGAUAAACUGGAGGAAGGUGGGGAUGACGUCAAAUCAUCAUGCCCCUUAUAGCCUGGGCUACACACGUGCUACAAUGGGCGUUACAACGGGCAGCGAAACCGCGAGGUGGAGCGAAUCCCCAAAGGCGCCCUCAGUUCGGAUUGCAGGCUGAAACUCGCCUGCAUGAAGCCGGAAUUGCUAGUAAUGGCAGGUCAGCAUACUGCCGUGAAUACGUUCCCGGGCCUUGUACACACGGCCCGUCACACCAUGAGAGUCUGUAACACCCGAAGUCGGUAGUCUAACUUGUAAAAGGGGACGCCGCCGAAGGUGGGACAGAUAAUUGGGGUG